GCCCGGAUGAUGGAACUGGCAUACAUACGUGUCUCAGAAACACGGCUUUGUGGGUUCGAAUCCCACUCCGGGUA
rnacentral:tRNA from 2 species